rnacentral:rRNA from 1 species
UACGUAGGGGGCAAGCGUUGUCCGGAUUUAUUGGGCGUAAAGAGCGUGUAGGCGGCCAGGUAGGUCAGCUGUGAAAACUCGAGGCUCAACCUCGAGACGUCGGUUGAAACCACCUGGCUAGAGUCCGGAAGAGGAGAGUGGAAUUCCUGGUGUAGCGGUGAAAUGCGCAGAUAUCAGGAGGAACACCGAUGGCGAAGGCAGGUCUCUGGGCCGUAACUGACGCUGAGAAGCGAAAGCGUGGGGAGCGAACAGG